rnacentral:rRNA from 1 species
GACGAACGCUGGCGGCGUGCUUAACACAUGCAAGUCGAACGGAAAGGCCUGCUUUCCCUUGUGGAUUGCGGGUACUCGAGUGGCGAACGGGUGAGUAACACGUGAGUGAUCUGCCCCCAACUUGGGUAUAAGCCUGGGAAACUGGGUCUAAUUCCCGAUAGGACUGCAGGGUGGUGCCUGUGGUGGAAAACGAUUUGCUAGUGGUUGGGGAUGAGCUCGCGGCCUAUCAGCUUGUUGGUGGGGUAAUGGCCUACCAAGGCGGAGACGGGUAGCCGGCCUGAGAGGGUGGACGGCCACAUUGGGACUGAGACACGGCCCAGACUGCGACGCGAGGCAGCAGUGGGGAAUAGUGCGCAAUGGGCGGAAGCCUGAUGCAGCGACGCCGCGUGGGGGAUGACGGCCUUCGGGUUGUAAACUCCUUGCGACCGCGAGGAAGCCACCUGGUUGGAAGGGUGGUGACGGUAGUGGUAGAAGAAGCACCGGCUAACUACGUG